rnacentral:rRNA from 1 species
UACGGAGGGGGCGAGCGUUGUCCGAAGUUACUGGGCGUAAAGCGCGCGUAGGCAGGUUGGUAAGUCCGCUGUGAAAGCCCGGAGCUUAACUCCGGAGGGUCGGUGGAUACUGCCAGUCUUGAAGGUGCUAGGGGGAGAUGGAAUUACCGGUGUAGCGGUGAAAUGCGUAGAUAUCGGUAGGAACACCAGUGGCGAAGGCGGUCUCCUGGGGCAUUCUUGACGCUGAGGCGCGAAAGCUGGGGGAGCAAACGGG